AUGUGAUGUACAGCAAAGUAAAUAGAUGCUAAGGCCUUCCCUACCCACACCGUUAACUGCCAACCAUGUUCCUGUGAACGUUUGUGCUGAAGUUGGCCCGACGACGAAAGAGCUCAGCACAGAGCUCCAGGAAAUGACCAAUUCUCACAGCUCAAUGGGAGGGCGUGUGGGUAAGUAAGCCAAACAAG